UACGUAGGGGGCAAGCGUUGUCCGGAAUUACUGGGCGUAAAGCGUGCGCAGGCGGUUGUGUAAGACAGAUGUGAAAUCACCGGGCUCAACCUGGGAACUGCAUUUGUGACUGCACAGCUGGAGUGCGGCAGAGGGGGAUGGAAUUCCGCGUGUAGCAGUGAAAUGCGUAGAUAUGCGGAGGAACACCGAUGGCGAAGGCAAUCCCCUGGGCCUGCACUGACGCUCAUGCACGAAAGCGUGGGGAGCAAACAGG
rnacentral:rRNA from 1 species